AUUGAACGCUGGCGGCAUGCUUUACACAUGCAAGUCGAACGGUAACAGGGUGCUUGCACCGCUGACGAGUGGCGAACGGGUGAGUAAUGCGUCGGAACGUGCCGAGUAGUGGGGGAUAACGCAGCGAAAGUUGUGCUAAUACCGCAUACGUACUGAGGUAGAAAGUGGGGGACCUUCGGGCCUCACGCUAUUCGAGCGGCCGACGUCUGAUUAGCUAGUAGGUGAGGUAAAGGCUCCCCUAGGCGACGAUCAGCAGCGGGUCUGAGAGGAUGAUCAGCAACACUGGGACUGAGACACGGCCCAGACUCCUACGGGAGGCAGCAGUGGGGAAUUUUGGACAAUGGGCGAAAGCCUGAUCCAGCCAUGCCGCGUGUCUGAAGAAGGCCUUCGGGUUGUAAAGGACUUUUGUCAGGGAGGAAAUCCCUAGUGCUAAUAACACUGGGGGAUGACAGUACCUGAAGAAUAAGCACCGGCUAACUACGUGCCAGCCGCCGCCGUAA
rnacentral:rRNA from 1 species